UGUCAUCCCAGUGCUUGACACUGGGAUCCAGGAAACUUAAUUGCAAGUAAUGCAUUGGGCUUGGUGAAUAUGGGUUUUGCGUUAUAAAAUGAAGCACUUUUUGUGAAUUUGUAAAGAAAGCUGGAUCCCAGUGUCUGGGCACUGGGAUGACACC
rnacentral:ncRNA from 1 species